UACGUAGGGGGCCAGCGUUGCUCGGAAUUACUGGGCGUAAAGCGCACGUAGGCGGCUCUUUAAGUCGGGGGUGAAAUCCUGGAGCUCAACUCCAGAACUGCCUUCGAUACUGGAGAGCUCGAGUCCGGGAGAGGUGAGUGGAACUGCGAGUGUAGAGGUGAAAUUCGUAGAUAUUCGCAAGAACACCAGUGGCGAAGGCGGCUCACUGGCCCGGUACUGACGCUGAGGUGCG
rnacentral:rRNA from 1 species